UUCUAGUUUUGAGAGGGGCAGUUUUUCCAGUGUUGUGGGGAUGUUUCUGAGUCCCAUCAGUUCCCAUCGCCCGCUACAUAUUUAGGUCACGGGAUUCGGUAUGUACACAUGCAGAACACACACCUGUGUUCAGCGCAAGGUCAGGGAAUGAGCAGUCUUGGUGGAGUACUGCUCUCUAAAAGCUUUUCUUGUUUACCGACGUGACAAAUCGUGAGCGCGUGUGUGAACACGUGUGUGCCAGGAAGUGAAAUUAACUUUUUAGGCCACUGACAGAUAUGUCCAAAUGUGAUUCAUUCAAUAGAAAACUUUCAUGUUGUGCCAUAAAUCUGCCAACCACUUCAUAUUAAACCUGUUAUGGUUAUGGUCCUGCUCCUGCCCUUUGUCUCCCCUUUUCCUUCUCUUCCCCAUUAUUGCUCUUUGUGUGUGUUCUGGCUUGUGUGUCUCUGUCUCCCUCUGUCUGCCAGCCUUCCCUCUUGUCUUUCUCUCUCUCCCGGUCACUCGCCCUCUAGCUCUGCCAGCUGAUUGCCCUCAAUGGCAUCAGCUGCAGUAAUCAGUCAAUUCCACUCACCUGUUCUCUCAGCCAUUUAAGCCCUCUGCUUCCCUCUACCUGGAUCAUUGUUUGCCUUCAUCCCAUGUUGCCAUGGCCUCUGUUCCCCAGCUAUGGACUACUUUGUUUAUGGACCUUUGCUGCUUCUGCCCUUUGUGGAUUACCCCCUUUUGGACCCUGUCACUUGGAUUUCUUCAGUCAGUUUUUUGCUCCCUCGAUUUUGGGUCCUCUGUAGUAAAAACAGCUGUGAACUCGGGCGUUUUUGGCUGCAACAAUCACGAAAAACGCCUACGAAAUCCUGGAGGGACUGGUAUAUACAGCAUGUAGAGCUGCUGUUUUUCUCCAGUCAUUGUGACCUUUGUGAGUACCUGGAAAAAUGGAAGUUGUCGAUGCGUGACAAUGGUGUCGCCUUUCGAAGAAACUUAUGCCACAAAAGAAAUGCCCAACUUGUGUAAAUAUUGAUUCCAGGAUCACUGCACCCUCUUCUUCGCUGUGCUGUUUCCUAGAGAGUCGACUGUCUGUGCAAAGUUAGUGUGCUCAGUCUGAUUCUAUGUUCAGUUUUAGCUCUGCAGAUGUUUAAUGCUCUGAAUCCCUGAACAGCUCUAUUAACUUCAAUUACUGUCAGAAAGUGUGAUAACUGUAAUAAUAUAACAUGCACAUUUUAUUUUAUCUGUGCUUGCACCAGAGAAAAUUCCUUGUAAGUGUAAAAACCUACUUGGCAAUAAAAACUGAUUCUGACAAAA